rnacentral:rRNA from 1 species
AGAGUUUGAUCCUGGCUCAGAUUGAACGCUGGCGGCAUGCCUUACACAUGCAAGUCGAACGGUAACAGGUUAAGCUGACGAGUGGCGAACGGGUGAGUAAUAUAUCGGAACGUACCCAAGAGUGGGGGAUAACGUAGCGAAAGUUACGCUAAUACCGCAUACGAUCUAUGGAUGAAAGCAGGGGACCGCAAGGCCUUGUGCUCCUGGAGCGGCCGAUAUCUGAUUAGCUAGUUGGUAGGGUAAAGGCCUACCAAGGCAUCGAUCAGUAGCUGGUCUGAGAGGACGACCAGCCACACUGGAACUGAGACACGGUCCAGACUCCUACGGGAGGCAGCAGUGGGGAAUUUUGGACAAUGGGCGCAAGCCUGAUCCAGCAAUGCCGCGUGAGUGAAGAAGGCCUUCGGGUUGUAAAGCUCUUUUGUCAGGGAAGAAACGGGUGGGGCUAAUAUCCUCAUCUAAUGACGGUACCUGAAGAAUAAGCACCGGCUAACUACGUGCCAGCAGCCGCGGUAAUACGUAGGGUGCAAGCGUUAAUCGGAAUUACUGGGCGUAAAGCGUGCGCAGGCGGUUUUGUAAGUCUGUCGUGAAAUCCCCGGGCUCAACCUGGGAAUGGCGAUGGAGACUGCAAGGCUAGAGUUUGGCAGAGGGGGGUAGAAUUCCACGUGUAGCAGUGAAAUGCGUAGAUAUGUGGAGGAACACCGAUGGCGAAGGCAGCCCCCUGGGUCAAGAUUGACGCUCAUGCACGAAAGCGUGGGGAGCAAACAGGAUUAGAUACCCUGGUAGUCCACGCCCUAAACGAUGUCUACUAGUUGUCGGGUCUUAAUUGACUUGGUAACGCAGCUAACGCGUGAAGUAGACCGCCUGGGGAGUACGGUCGCAAGAUUAAAACUCAAAGGAAUUGACGG